rnacentral:rRNA from 1 species
CUACGGAACUCCUACGGGAGGCAGCAGUGGGGAAUUUUGGACAGUGGGGGCAACCCUGAUCCAGCAAUGCCGCGUGAGUGAAGAAGGCCUUCGGGUUGUAAAGCUCUUUUGUCAGGGAAGAAACGGUAGUAGCUAAUAUCUAUUACUAAUGACUGUACCUGAAGAAUAAGCACCGGCUAACUACGUGCCAGCAGCCGCGGUAAUACGUAGGGUGCAAGCGUUAAUCGGAAUUACUGGGCGUAAAGCGUGCGCAGGCGGUUUUGUAAGUCUGAUGUGAAAUCCCCGGGCUCAACCUGGGAAUUGCAUUGGAGACUGCAAGGCUAGAAUCUGGCAGAGGGGGGUAGAAUUCCACGUGUAGCAGUGAAAUGCGUAGAUAUGUGGAGGGACACCGAUGGCGAAGGCAGCCCCCUGGGUCAAGAUUGACGCUCAUGCACGAAAGCGUGGGGAGCAAACAGGAUUAGAAACCCUUGUAGUCCUCUUCGA